GAAUACAUGAAACUGGGAAGUAGAAGGAAAAGGUCUGUUGUGCUGAAUGGAUGUAUUGAGGUGCUCCUGCAGUGCCUCAUUGGAGACAGUGCUCUGCAUGCUCUACACAAGCAAGACUUGCACUUCACUGGGCACACAGAAAAUCCUCUUCUCUCGUGUCUCUCAAAACAAAGUUGAAAUAGACAGAGCCAUGUGUCAAAACCAGGCUGGGCUCAGUAUCUCAGGCACUUCCCAACUGCCAAAGGAGCGCCCUACCAGCAGCCUCCCCCAACCCAACUGAUUUCAAGGGGUCACGUUGGUGCUGAGCCUCCGGAGCCCGCAGAGCUCUCAGGAGUGACAUGGGCUGAGGUGUGUCUCCCCAGGACCCUCUUCCACUUCUCCCACUGCUUUUCCAGUUUAUCUCCAGAGGACAGCAAAGCCGAUGUUAUUGUGAUCCCACUUCCCAUGCCUCCAAUAGUCAAGUACCUUCCAUAUUUGCUUUCAGUAUCAAAGUUCUGCUGAAUGAGGCACCAAUGUUCCUAGUAAGACUGGCAUAAGUGAAUGCCCUGAAUUUACACUGAGUCAUUUUGAGGUGACCAUUGACUGCUCUACUUCUGAAAUGGGGAAGAUGGUUACUGCAGUUACAUUUCAUGCUAAAAUCUAUGGCUUUGCUCAGCUUUCAAACAGAAUGUGGAGAAAAGUGAAAAGGUGCUCUGCUAAAUGUGAGAGGCGUCAGAGCUGUUUUUCCCCGGUGCAGAACUAAAUCUCGUGUUGUUUGCUUUAAGUAAAAUGAGUGGUUAAGAUCUGCAAAAGUGGACAUGUGGAUGGAGGGGUGGGUCCUGCAGAGCUGUCAGAGGUGUGGGACGCAUCAGCUACACGCACAGGACUCACUGCCUCGUCCCAGCUGAGAUGACUGUUUCUGAUCUGAGAUUCAAGGCACUUUUCCCUACAUUUGUGAAAGCAAAUGCCAUCCAAUUCUGCUUUGGAAAUUGCAACUUCUGAUACGCUGCAUUCUAUGGGUCCGACAGAAUGAUGUGCAAAGGAUUGCAGUGUCUCAGGGCAAAGGAAACUCAAGGAACGUGCUCAGAAAUACGACUUUCACAAACACGGGAGCCACCACGUGUCCAUCUGAAUGGCCGGGGACUGGGCCAGAGCUAAUGAGUUUUACAAACGUUUCUUUUAAAUCCUGUUAAAAAUUUAUUGCUUAAUAGGACAGUAAUCCACACGUGCUGUAAUGCUGGUUACUAAUUAAAUCAGGUUGAGUCUUAGAAACACAGAUAAAGCAAGCAGGG
rnacentral:lncRNA from 7 species